rnacentral:rRNA from 1 species
UCCUACGGGGGGCAGCAGUGGGGAAUAUUGCACAAUGGGGGAAACCCUGAUGCAGCGACGCCGCGUGAAGGAAGAAGUAUUUCGGUAUGUAAACUUCUUUUGUCAGGGAGCAAUUGAGUCCACGUGUGGGCUUAGCGAGAGUACCUGAAGAAAAAGCAUCGGCUAACUCCGUGCCAGCAGCCGCGGUAAUACGGAGGAUGCGAGCGUUAUCCGGAUUUAUUGGGUUUAAAGGGUGCGUAGGCGGAAUAUCAAGUCAGCGGAAAAAAUUCGGGGCUCAACCCCGUCGUGCCGUUGAAACUGAUGUU